rnacentral:rRNA from 1 species
CUUAGUAGCGGCGAGUGAAGCGGCAAAAGCUCAAAUUUGAAAUCUGGCACCUUCGGUGUCCGAGUUGUAAUUUGAAGAUUGUAACCUUGGGGUUGGCUCUUGUCUAUGUUUCUUGGAACAGGACGUCACAGAGGGUGAGAAUCCCGUGCGAUGAGAUGCCCAAUCCUAUGUAAGGUGCUUUCGAAGAGUCGAGUUGUUUGGGAAUGCAGCUCUAAGUGGGUGGUAAAUUCCAUCUAAAGCUAAAUAUUGGCGAGAGACCGAUAGCGAACAAGUACAGUGAUGGAAAGAUGAAAAGAACUUUGAAAAGAGAGUGAAAAAGUACGUGAAAUUGUUGAAAGGGAAGGGUUUGAGAUCAAACUCGAUAUUUUGUGAGCCUUGCCUUCGUGGCGGGGUGACC